AGUGAACGCUGGCGGUAGGCCUAACACAUGCAAGUCGAACGGCAGCACAGGAGAGCUUGCUCUCUGGGUGGCGAGUGGCGGACGGGUGAGGAAUACAUCGGAAUCUACUCUGUCGUGGGGGAUAACGUAGGGAAACUUACGCUAAUACCGCAUACGACCUACGGGUGAAAGCAGGGGAUCUUCGGACCUUGCGCGAUUGAAUGAGCCGAUGUCGGAUUAGCUAGUUGGCGGGGUAAAGGCCCACCAAGGCAACGAUCCGUAGCUGGUCUGAGAGGAUGAUCAGCCACACUGGAACUGAGACACGGUCCAGACUCCUACGGGAGGCAGCAGUGGGGAAUAUUGGACAAUGGGCGCAAGCCUGAUCCAGCCAUACCGCGUGGGUGAAGAAGGCCUUCGGGUUGUAAAGCCCUUUUGUUGGGAAAGAAAUCCAGCUGGCUAAUACCCGGUUAGGAUGACGGUACCCAAAGAAUAAGCACCGGCUAACUUCGUGCCAGCCGCCGCCGUAA
rnacentral:rRNA from 1 species